rnacentral:lncRNA from 1 species
UCAUCAUCAAUGCAUCUCCUGAAAGGUCACUUUGUGGGCAGCAAGAUUCUUCUACAAUACACUGUCUAGUUUUCUUGUCUUAACUAGCGUAGCAACAUGAUCUCAUAAGGCAACACAGAGUACUACAAGCAAUAGAUGAUGGAGCUUUUUCUAUCUUCAAAGUUGAACUGCUUGGUAGAAUUUUUUUGUGUUGAUAAAACCUUGUUUUUUAGUAUUCAGCUUUGCAAGACAUGGUGUGUUUAUGAACAGAAGAAGACAAAUAGAACGAACAACACGCAACGUUAUUUCCCAACUUUUCAUUGUACUGGAUUGAUGUUUUGCUUAUCGUUUGCAAUUAACAAACUGCCACUUUUCCCGAAUGACUGAUUUAAAAAGCAGGUAGAUAAAUAGCAUGGGUAUAUCCAAACAGAUGUAAUUAAUGAUUAGAAAAUCAAUUCACAGAUCUAUAACCGCCUUAAAAACAAACUAUGCAUGUCCAUUAACAUGUAAUUAAAUUUCUGUACAUAAUACAUGACCUCGUUUUCUUAAUUGUUGCAUAAUAGUUUUAAUCAAAGAACUUGAUCACUAUGAGGGAAAAGAUCGCCAUCGAUAUUGUUUCCAUUGAUUUAAUUGUUCACAUGUAUUCACUACUUGAUUCAAUCUAAAAUAAAGUUUUGCAAUUUAAGGAAAAUUCUUAUAUUUAGAAACACAAUGUAUAUUUAAAAAUGAAAAUAUUUAUAUCGUGUUUAAAUUUUUGCUCUGCGUUUGCUUAUUUUUUUGUGAAUUCAAACACACUUAAUUUACAAUCAUUUUCCUUGUCGCAGUUUUUAUCAAUCUCCCAUACUCAUUAUCAACUAUAGAUUUAUGUAUGCAUACAAACAAUGAUUCUUUGUUCGUCAUUUGGUUUUAAGUUUCAUUUGUCCACAUAAGGCCUAGAGGUCUUCCAAAACUGCAAAAGUUAAAUGACGUUAGAGUAUGUGGUCAAGGUUUUAACUUAUGCAAGUUUUAA